rnacentral:rRNA from 1 species
UACGGGGGGGGGCAAGCGUUGUUCGGAAUUACUGGGCGUAAAGGGCUCGUAGGCGGCCAACUAAGUCGGACGUGAAAUCCCCAGGCUUAACCUGGGAACUGCAUCCGAUACUGGAUGGCUUGAAUCCUGGAGAGGGAUGCGGAAUUCCAGGUGUAGCGGUGAAAUGCGUAGAUAUCUGGAGGAACACCGGUGGCGAAGGCGGCAUCCUGGACCGGCAUUGACGCUGAGGAGCGAAAGCCAGGGGAGCAAACGGG